GAGAGCCGGGUGCGUAAUAAAUACGCAUGCCCGGUUCGGGGAAGGCGCUGAGAAACCGGUCCCUGCAAGGCGGCGCGGCGCUUACCGCCUAUUCAAC
rnacentral:ncRNA from 1 species